AUGCUUCUACUUUCUGUAUGGAGCUCGGAGCGUCUGCCUGUUGGACGCCUGAAGAGCGUCAGGUUUAAUCCUUGGUAUGAAGAUGAAGAUGACGAAUUACGGUGCCCCACUUGGGCUUACAAGUGGGAUGUGGUUUCCGAGAUGACGAAUGAUGUCAAUCUCAUGUACCAAAACUACAUUGCCGAGUUGGACACGAUUACGCCUGAGCAGGUAACGAGGUCAUUACUUCAGUCAUUUCUCAUGCUUGCCUGA
rnacentral:rRNA from 1 species